rnacentral:misc_RNA from 1 species
GGGAGCAGUUGUAAUCUUAUCUUAAGAAAGAAAUGGGAGGAGAUUAUGGUGAAUCGGAGUUAUGAAAGGCAUGUCUCAGGUGAAUGUAUGUUAUCUUGUAAAUUUGAUACUGAAACAGUGAACUACAUGCUCAAGCAUUAUAUUGAGAAAAGGAUUAGUGGAAUGUGCCAUUUGAAUAGAAAGCUAGGUUGGUUCAAGAGUAGCUGAGGGCUUGGAA